AUGCUUGCUUUGGCAGCAUAUAUACUAAAGCUGGAACAAAACAGAGAAGAUUAACAUGGCCCUUGUGCAAGGAUAACAUCAGCCACACAUUGUGUACCACUGUGCU